GGGGCUGUCGCUCAGUUGGUAGAGUGCUUGCCUACUGGGCAUGAAGUCCUGGGUUAGAUGCCCUAGUGCUGCCU
rnacentral:tRNA from 1 species